ACGAUAAUUUCUUGAUGAAUAAAUAAAAAUAACACACAUGAGAGAUUCCCUAAAUCGUAUUCGGAUGAGGGUAUUGGGAUGCUGAAAACUGCGAGUAAAGUUCAAAUUAGCGAGCAGUUUUCGUGAGUAUUUCUUUCCCAUUGCGGUUUUUUUCAUAACCUAAUGCCACGUUCCACAUGUGAUGCUGACACUGGUAUUUUUCGUUUCAGAUGCGGGAUUUCAUAUUUUACAUUUUGAUAUUUCAUAUUUUACGAUUUUACAUUUCAUAUUUUAGAUAUUUCAAUAUUUCAUAUUGAUUUCUGUAAUUAUUACUCCUUUCUGAACUGCUGAUCUCUUCGCAUUUCCUCCUUGUCAUCAAACCUCUGUCUCUGCAAGAGUUUGAGCGCUUACCUGUCAAAGAGAUGCAAGAGCUUCAUCUGGCACUGCGCGCUUGAGGCCGUGGAGGACGCUGCUUG